rnacentral:snoRNA from 1 species
AAUUAGAAUUGAGAUAUGGGUUAUGCUUCCCUCACAACAAGUUUAUUGCAAGGGUGACAAUGAGACCUGGAACAUUU